CACCAGUGAAAAAUGUUGGCUGACUUCACCAGAACCACAGGAGAAAGCCAGAAUCAGCUGAAGCAGGCACAGGAAUGGAAGUUUAGAAGAACAAGAGAAAGCAGAGGGCAUGAUAUACAGAGACAUGACUUUGGUGCACUACCAUCUUGUGGACUAUCUAGGAAAAACAAGCAUAGACACCAGACUGCAUGCUGCAACUGUCCCUGCUGUUGAUGUCUCCACCAGAGAGGAGUAGCUGCGGGAUCUCAAAUGACUGCCAGACUUGCUGAUGUCUGGACAGGAAUAAAGCAUCAUCUAAAUAAAUAACUGCCUGAACAACAGUUUGACAAGUGAAGUAUCUUUGACAGUCA